GUGAUAAGGGAUGGUUUUUAUUCAUUUUUAAAAUUCUCCACUAGACUAUGAGAUCCAGGAGGGUGGGGUCAUAUCGAGUUCCCUGUUCCCUCUGUCAUUAGUACAGAACCUGCCAUAUUGUUAGGACUUUUUAGUCUCUUUUUGACUAAAUGAAAAAAAAAGGGGUGUGUGUGUGUAUUAGAGGUUGAGAGAAAUGUUUUUGGACUGAAAUUUAUAUGGAAACUUGUUCUAAAACCAUAUUAGCUCAGCACAUCCAUUAAAAAGAAGAUGAACACAGAAAUUCCAGUGGUGAAGACUGAUGUUCUGAGAGUGCUAAUGGCAUCUAGUGAAGGCUUGCUUGGACAUGGAGAAAUGCUAAGUCAUCUUUUAGAUAGAAUGCUGACAGCCCUGCCUAUAUAAAUAGAUGCUUUAAAAACAAGAGACCUUAAUUGUAAAAUGCUUUUAGGUAAAUGAAUCCUUUGAUGAAGGUGUGUCCUUUCCACAAAUGACAUGGAAGAUGACAUGCCAGAUGUGGUCUCACACCACAUGAAAAACAUCUGGAGGAAGAAGUAUCAAUAUACGAACACCCUAUUCUCAUCUCUACGUCUCUUUCAUGAGGGUUUAUUAUAGUAUUGACUGCUCGUUCACAAGCAUUUAUGAAGCACAGCAGAGGUGUUGUUGGGAGAUAUAAAACACUGAGCAGGCUCAGCCCCUAUUCCAUGGGAGCUGGCUGGAUAGUGGGCACUCAAGUCCUGGGCCCAGAGCAGCUUACACAGAAUUAUGGCUCUACAGUGAGCAUCGAUGAGGGCAGAAUCCUAUGGCAGGGACUGAAGGCUCAAGUCAUUUGGGGUCUGGGAGAAGGGAGGCAGGGCUGAUAUUACUGUGGAAAUAUUUCUGGAAGAGCUGGAUGUGGCUAUGUAACUUGAAGAGGUAGAUGCUGUGACUAGAGAAAAGAAAUCAUGGGACUCAAGGAAAGGAGUUUUGGGGACAGGAAUAAAAAUAUAAAAGCACCCAAGUGGAAUUGACCAAACAUUUGUGUGAUUAGAACAUGGGCGGGAUGGUAGAAGACAGAUAAGAGAAUGGCUGAGGUGUGGGUUGUUGACAGGUAGGAGCUGCAUGGGCCAAGAUAGGGUUGGGGAGUCCUGACUACAGACUGGGAAGGUUAGACUGGAUAUGACAGGUGCCUGGAAGGUACUAAGUGGAAAACUGUAUAUAAAAAAAUAGAGUUUAAGAAGGGUCUUGAGAAGGGAUAGAGAAAAGCUUGGAGUCUCUGGAGUUAAAUAACCACUUGGAAGUUAUAGUCACUGUAGGGCAGUACUGCCUAUUAAUAGAAAUAGAGUGCAAGCCCACAUAUUUAAAAAGUAAAAAAAAAAUGUGAAAUUAAUUUAAAUAAUGUAUCAUUAUAUCCCAAUUUUAUACGAUUUAUACAAAUACGAUAAACAUUCAAC
rnacentral:lncRNA from 1 species